CAUAUCAAUAAGCGGAGGUUAAUGACAAACAACAGGGAUUGCCUCAGUAGCGGCGAGUGAAGCGGCAAGAGCUCAGAUUUGAAAUCGUGCUUUGCGGCACGAGUUGUAGAUUGCAGGUUGGAGUCUGUGUGGAAGGCGGUGUCCAAGUCCCUUGGAACAGGGCGCCCAGGAGGGUGAGAGCCCCGUGGGAUGCCGGCGGAAGCAGUGAGGCCCUUCUGACGAGUCGAG
rnacentral:rRNA from 1 species